rnacentral:rRNA from 1 species
CACGGAUCCAGACUUUGAUCAUGGCUCAGGAUGAAUGCUGGCGGCGUGCCUAACACAUGCAAGUCGAGCGGCAGCGCGGUCUUCGGAUUGGCGGCGAGCGGCGGACGGCUGAGUAACGCGUGGGAACGUACCCCAAAGUGAGGAAUAACCGCCCGAAAGGGUGGCUAAUGCCGCAUAUGAUCUUCGGAUUAAAGGAUUUAUCCGCUUUGGGAAUGGCCUGCGUACGAUUAGAUAGUUGGUGAGGUAAAGGCUCACCAAGUCGGCGAUCGUUAACUGGUCUGAGAGGAUGAUCAGUCAGACUGGAACUGAGAUACGGUCCAGACUCCUACGGGAGGCAGCAGUGAGGAAUCUUCCACAAUGGGCGAAAGCCUGAUGGAGCAACGCCGCGUGCAGGAUGAAGGCCUUCGGGUCGUAAACUGCUUUUAUAAGUGAAGAAUAUGACGGUAACUUAUGAAUAAGCACCGGCUAACUACGUGCCANNAGCCGCGGUCAU